CAAUUUGAAUUAAAUUCUUCUAUCUAUCUAUUUUCAAGAUACGAAUUAUUCCAAUAGUCUUAUACACACUUUACAUAACACUCGGAUGAGAUUCUAAAUCAUCAAUGCUACCAGAAUCUGUUCCUUUUGCUCACAUUUCCAGCAUGCCUUUCAUAUUAAUUAUUCCAAAUACUCCAAUAAUUAUGCACACUUUAGUAUCACCGGAUCAACGAGAUCCUUCCAUUAAGUUCAGACAAUUCAUAUCUCUUCAAAAUCAUCGACAUUACCAGAGGCUACGAAUUAAUCCAGGGACAACUCUAUAGUCAGUUGUACACACUUCACACUGCGAUCCUUCCUAGAUCAGAUUCCAGAUCAGAAUCGCCUCCCUCGUUCGUUCGAUCAGAGAUUUUCGCGGUCGAAUUUGGUGGUCGGAACGGAUAUAGGAUGAAGAAGAUGGUUGGUCGUAGAUUCCGGCGAACCGGCUUCUCUGCCGCCGCGUUUCCCGACAAAGAUGCGGAGGACGACGGCGUUGCGCUGGCCAUCUGGCGCAAACUCGCACUAAAACCGCGGCGAAACCGCGUCACGAGUCCCCCUCGAAAAUAGUCGCCGGUCGAAAAUAGCCGACUCUGGCUAAGAAAGAAGAAUCAUCGGUAUUUGCUCCGGGUACGCGCGUGCUCGCGCUAGUUGCAUCGCGGCCUUCUCCAGAGAGGCUCGCGUACUUGUUCCUUCUUCUUCUUCUUCUUGAUCUUUUCCUACGUGUCAUUUUCCUCUUCUUGUUCCUCUUCUUAUCUUUGUUUCAUUCUUUCGUGUCUUCUUCGACCGAUUCUCGUUUCUCUUCGCUUGCUCGAUGACGUAUUUAUACCCGGUCUAUCGAACGAGACGCGCGAGGGAAAACACGGAUAUCCUUGCUUCUCAGAGAUGGCGGGGCAGAGAGAGGGUAUUAUAGGGAUGGAGAGACGAUGACGAUUCAUAGUAUGUUUUUUCUGAAUUUCUCUUGGAAAUAUGAAAAGUCUUUUCAUACGAAAAUUGUUUGAUUUCAAAUAUUCCGAUUUUGAGAGGGGAGGGGAGGGGAGGGGGAGGGGUGGGAUUAUUAUUCAGUUGCAUGUAACAGAAUAUUUGGAUAUCAAUGUAAUUCUUCUUUAAACGGAAUUUAUAUAAUUUUAUUAUUGCCAGCUAUGAUUUUCGAAGUAAAAUUCAAGCAAGGCAUAUAAUGAUUAUUUUUAAUUAAUUUCGUUUGAUUAUCUUUACAAAUAUCGGUAAUAAAUGUCAAUUUUGGUAUUUAAUUGUUUAUAAAAAUAGAUAUAUACAAUUUUUAUCGAUCGAAAAGAAAAUUUUAAAAUAAAGACGACGUGUUGCUUAAUAUAUCUAAUAAAAAUAAAUAAGAAUAACAGGAAAAUAAGUAUAAUAUACGAUGUUAGGCUGGAAAGCAAGUAAUGUGAUGAGUUAAUAAUGGUAGAUCAAAAAGAUAUUUUGUUAAAAAUAGUUAUAACAUUGAAUUUGUUUCAAAAAUGCAACAAAUUGGUAUAAAUAAAAAUAUGUAAUUUAAAAAUAUAUUGGAAAUUAUAUUGAUGU
rnacentral:lncRNA from 1 species